UGGCUGAGGGAGUGAGGAGGAGGGGUGGGGAAGGACAAGGACAGCGUCUGAAAGAGGUGGGCAGACAGAGAAAGAAACAAUGCCAGAUAAAGGCUGAGGGCGAUAAGGAGAAAGAGAGAGCCUAGGCGUUGGGCCUGGAGCCCAGGAGAGGGCAGCCAAGGAGGAGAGAGGUGGCCCCAAAGGAAUUGGACUUUUAUUUGGGGACCGGUGAGGUCACCUACCCUCCAGAGGUGAGAAGGCGAGUGGUGUACAUCCUGCUUUGCCAAGGUCGUCUGCCCUGGAGGUCAUCUGAGAAGGCAAGAGGGAGGGGCAACUUUGAAGAGUUUGUACCAGUCACAUCAUGGACCUACAGGCUUGGUGUUACGGUUUAUGCCUUCCAGAUGAGGAAAAUUUGGCUCAGAAUAUUAGAGUAACUUCUCAGAAGUUCCACUUCUAGGAAAUGAAAGAGCAAACUUCGAACCCCGGUCAGUGCUGAGCCUGCUUUCCUGGUGUCCAGUUGCUUUGCAGGCCUGGAGAGCUGCGUCUACGGUUGACAGGAAGUCGCGAUACCUGGUCCAGGUGAGACUGCAGGUGGGUGAGCCCGGCCCAGCCUCUAGCACCCGAUGGAACUGCUAAGGUUAAGUUCACACCGAGGAGAACACCUCCACCCCUGCUCCCACGAGGACAAGGUUGGCUUCAGCGUCUGAUGGUUUUUGCCACCCUUGUAUUUCAGGUAACAGUAUCCAAAGUAAGAGGCUCCAUCUUCUUUAUCUUUUAAAGAAAUUUAUCUUUUUUUUUAAUUUAUCUUUUUAAGAAAUUAAAAGACACUCACUCCUUGGAAGGAAAGCUGUGACAAACCUAGACAGCCUAUUAAAAAGCACAGACAUCACUUUGCUGAUUAAGGUCCAUCUAGUCAAAGUUACGGUUUUUCCAGUAGUCAUGUACAGGUGUGAGAGUUGGACCAUAAAGCAGGCUGAGCACCAAAGAAUUGAUGCUUUUGAACUGUGAUGCUGGGGAAGACUCUUGAGUCACUUGCACAUCAAACCAGUCAAUUCUAAAGGAAAUCAACACUGAAUAUUGAUUGGAAGGACUGGUGCUGAAGCUGAAGCUCCAAUACUUUGGCCACCUGAUGUGAAGAGCUG
rnacentral:lncRNA from 1 species